rnacentral:rRNA from 1 species
GUCCUAGCUGUAAACGGUGCGCGCUUGGUGUGGCGGGUUUCGACCCCUGCCGUGCCGUAGCUAACGCGUUAAGCGCGCCGCCUGGGAAGUACGGUCGCAAGAUUAAAACUCAAAGAAAUUGACGGGGACCCGCACAAGCGGUGGAGUAUGUGGCUUAAUUCGAUGCAACGCGAAGAACCUUACCUGGGCUUGACAUGCGCUGUAACCCUUGCGAAAUCAAGGUAGCGUAGCAAUACGCACUUCGCACAGGUGCUGCAUGGCUGUCGU